GCAGUCGAGGGGUAUGGUUCUUCGGAACCAGAGACCGGCGCACGGGUGCGUAACGCGUAUGCAAUCUACCUUUUACAGAGGGAUAGCCCAGAGAAAUUUGGAUUAAUACCUCAUAGUAUAAUGACUCGGCAUCGAGAUAUUAUUAAAGUCACAACGGUAAAAGAUGAGCAUGCGUCCCAUUAGCUAGUUGGUAAGGUAACGGCUUACCAAGGCUACGAUGGGCAGGGGUCCUGAGAGGGAGAUCCCCCACACUGGUACUGAGACACGGACCAGACUCCUACGGGAGGCAGCAGUGAGGAAUAUUGGACAAUGGGCGCAAGCCUGAUCCAGCCAUGCCGCGUGCAGGAUGACGGUCCUAUGGAUUGUAAACUGCUUUUAUACGAGAAGAAACACUCCGACGUGUCGGAGCUUGACGGUAUCGUAAGAAUAAGGAUCGGCUAACUCCGUGCCAGCAGCCGCGGUAAUACGGAGGAUCCAAGCGUUAUCCGGAAUCAUUGGGUUUAAAGGGUCCGUAGGCGGUUUAAUAAGUCAGUGGUGAAAGCCCAUCGCUCAACGGUGGAACGGCCAUUGAUACUGUUAAACUUGAAUUAUUAGGAAGUAACUAGAAUAUGUAGUGUAGCGGUGAAAUGCUUAGAGAUUACAUGGAAUACCAAUUGCGAAGGCAGGUUACUACUAAUGGAUUGACGCUGAUGGACGAAAGCGUGGGUAGCGAACAGGAUUAGAUACCCUGGUAGUCCACGCCGUANACGAUGGAUACUAGCUGUUGGGUGCAAACUCAGUGGCUAAGCGAAAGUGAUAAGUAUCCCACCUGGGGAGUACGUUCGCAAGAAUGAAACUCAAAGGAAUUGACGGGGGCCCGCACAAGCGGUGGAGCAUGUGGUUUAAUUCG
rnacentral:rRNA from 1 species